GAGGCUGUGGCUCAGUGGUAGAGCAUCAGUUUUGAACGCAGAAGGUCCCAGGUUCAAACCCUGGCAUCUCUA